rnacentral:rRNA from 1 species
GAGCGUGAAGUUUCUUCGGAAAUGGAUUAGCGGCGAACGGGUGAGGAACACGUGAAGAAUCUGCCCUCCACUUUGGGAUAACACCGGGAAACCGGUGCUAAUACUGAAUAUUGAAACAUAAGUGGCAUCACUGAGUUUUGAAAGAAUUUCGGUGGAGGAUGACUUCGCGGCCUAUCAGCUAGUUGGUGAGGUAAUGGCUCACCAAGGCAACGACGGGUAGCCGGCCUGAGAGGGCGACCGGCCACACUGGGACUGAGACACGGCCCAGACUCCUACGGGAGGCAGCAGUGGGGAAUAUUGGGCAAUGGAGGAAACUCUGACCCAGCGACGCCGCGUGCGGGAUGAAGGCCUUCGGGUUGUAAACCGCUUUCAGUAGGGAAGAAGCGAAAGUGACGGUACCUACAAAAGAAGCACCGGCUAACUAUGUGCCAGCAGCCGCGGUAAUACAUAGGGUGCAAGCGUUGUCCGGAAUUAUUGGGCGUAAAGAGCUCGUAGGUCGUUUGUUACGUCGGAUGUGAAAACCUGAGGCUCAACCUCAGGCCUGCAUUCGAUACGGGCAUACUAGAGUUUGGUAGGGGAGACUGGAAUUCCUGGUGUA